rnacentral:lncRNA from 1 species
UCUUACUGUCUUAAAAACUCAGAUUCUUUCAUUGAAAUGGCAUUAAGUAAACUUAAGACAAUGCUACAUGGAUUAGAGACUACCUAUAGUGCACCCAACUUGCAGGAUGUCAUUUAGUAUGCGUGUAUUCUUAACCCAACUUGCAGCCUAAUGGCUUUUUAAAGUCAAAACUUCCAUAGUCCUUUUGCAGUAUGAUUUUUGAGGCAUAUGGAGACAGAAUCUGAGCCAAUAUAUUUUAUUCCAAAUGAGGCUCUUUGAUUUCUCACAUGCUUUUGAAAUGUGAUGUUUGUCUACCCUGGAAAACUCUGCCGUUUCAACUCUCUGGAAAGCUAGGAAAGGUUUUGAAUAAUUGUAUCAUGGGUAGUUUUUGGAUUCCACUACUUGUGGGCUACUUCUGCUGGAUAAAUGUGUUGCCUACAUACAGUAUUCUCUUAACCCUGCUUCUCAAAAUCCUAUAUUUUCUGUUGUCAAGUCAAGAAUUACAAAGCCACACUUUGGCAUGGAGAAUACUACUCUACAGUUACUCAUCCUUAAUGACCUGUAGUACAGAAAAGUGAAAACAUUGUGGAGGAGAUAAAUUACCAAAAUAGAAGAUAAGCUGAAAAGGCAAUGGAAAAUAUAUCAUACAUAUCAAAGUUGCUCAUUUAUGCUAUUUUGCCAUAACAAUGCAUACAACUGAAGCACUUCCCUUCUCCAUUGGAGUUUUGUCUCUAGAGGUAUUAAAUAUUAAUCUUAUAAAGAAAAGAAAGCAAAAAAAAAAAACCCUGAACACAUGUUAAUAGGUUAGGGUUUUAAGAGCAAAUCACAAAAGCAGAAUAAGUACUUGGAGGAAAAAAACAGGAAGAGAGAGAAAGAGGGAGAGAGAGAGAGAGGUGGGGUAAAUUGUGGACCCUCCUUUUAAAGAAACAAAAUUUUCCACAGAGUUGCAUUAAUACUUAAAUUGGACUAACUCCAUGUGAAUCCUCGUAAGAAAUACUAUUUCCUUUCAAUUAACUCAUCUAUCCUACAAUUACAUGUCAUGAAAUCUAAAGGCAAAUAUGUUUACCCAGUAAGGGAAUAACAUUCGAGGCAAAAGUGAUGUCACAAACAGAUGGGAAUUCCAAGUAAUACUGAGUCAUGGUUCUAGGGGAAUAAAACAAUUACUUUACAGCUCAGUGCAAUGUAGUAUUUAAAGAAAAGGUAUUUCAAUAGAAUAGCCCAGACAAUUAUUCAACAUUUAACAGAGAUUAUAUUAGUCUAGAUAUGUUAAUUUGGAUUUUAUUCUGUUUUUUAUUUAUGUUAAUAGGUUUGGUUACUGGUUUAAAGAAAUAUUAGAAGUUUAUCUUUUAUUUUUACAAAUAGAUUAACAUUUGUCUUAGAGGGAGUUCUGCCCUUCAUGGAUAAUACCUUUACCUGCUAAAUCUAGAUUUCUUUUUCUAUAGUAAGUUUUAAACCAGUAAUUGAUGUAAAAAGAUGCAACAAAUAAAAUUAUAGCUACUAAUGGGCAUGUAUUUAUUAUACAGUAGGCAAUUUGCAGAAAGUUUUAUGUAUAUUAUUUUUAUUAAUCUUUAUGACAUUGGAAUUCCAUCAGGUAGGCAUUUUGAUUCCCAAGUAAACUAAAGAGAAGAAAACUGAGGCUUAAAGAGGGUAAGUGAUUUGCCAAGGGUCACAGAACAAGUAAGAGGUACAGCUGGAUUCAAAUUUAAGUAUAUCUUGUCCUCAAGUCUUUCCUCUUUAUUUCCUACUAAAACUAAAAAGGGUAAUGGCACAGCAGCUAAUCAUAUUUGAUGUAUUAAAACAUAAAUACUGGUGUCAAAUAUAAGUACUAAAUCAGGCAUCAGUUCCUUCCUACUAAAAACAUUAAAAAACAAUUCAGCAAAAAUUCGUACUCUGCAGGAUCAUAGAGUGCUUUGAUACCCUCAUCUACAGCAGUGUUUCUCAACCUUUUUAUUCAUUGUUGCUCUCCUAAGGGACCUUCUUAGACAUUUUUUUCAUACUUGUCUCCCAAGAAAUUUUAAUACUAUAGAUAUACCAUAUAUCUAUGUACCAUAUGUAUAUCUGUGCUCAUACAUAAAAAGAAUAAGUUUUUGCUCCUUAGAAUAAUUUUUUUGCCCUUUGGGAGCAAUGAAUAUGUAUGAUUUAGAUAUUAUACCUCUAUGUUUCUCCAAAACCUUUCAAGUCACUCUUAUUGCUUACAAUUGUAUGGGCUUAGAGCUUUAGAUUUUUAGCUUAAAGUUUUUCAGUGUGUUAAAAUGCAAAUAUAUAGAAAACGUUGAUGAACCACAACAAGCCAUUUGUAUCCUGGUGUAAAAUAGAAGCUCAGAAAGCCAGUUUGAUAAGGGAAAGGAGAAGAAUGGGAGGUCACUCUGUAUUGGGGCAGGGAAGGGGAAGAGCGGAGAGCCUCUGGUGUUGAAAUGCCUGCGUCACAACUGUACUUCAGUCCAGUCCCGUUGAACAUAUUAACACAAGUAUUUGAAGAAAAGAUGCUAGCUCCUAUUCAUGAUGAACAAGAAAACUUAGUCAUAAGCCACCUUAGUGGCCAUCACCCUAUUAUUGUGUAAAUAUUAGGUUUCCUGCUUGUAAAGAAUUUGCUGUUUGGUUCCUUUCAGGCCUGUUUGCGUGUUCCCAACUGCUAUGUGGCCAAGAAUAAGUAAGUUUAUGUAACGUUCCAAAGAAACUGCUCAAAACCGUGGCUCAUUUUAACUAAGAUAUGAAUAGAAGGCAGAAAUGAAUUCACAAACACUUCUUUCACAUGCACUGCAAAAUAUAACUUUUUACUCCUCCAGGCCAAAAUGGUCUUAACCAUUGAAGUAAUUAUAGCUCACAACUAUAAUUUAAAGUUAGAUCUGGUUGAUUCUAAAUUCACACAGGAAAAUAAUUCACUCAUCUUACUGGAACAUUGACGUAAAUAACUUUAUAAAACCCAUACAGUUUCAGCAAUCCUAGAAAGUGUUGUGAAUCCAAAUAGAAACAGUUGAUAAAUUAAUAAGACAGUUGAUAAAAUAAUUUAGUAAGACAACAAUAAUUGUCUACCAUUUAUUGGUUAAAGUAUUAUGCUUGACACUUUAUAAAUAUUACCUAUUUAAUCGUUACAGCAAUCUUUAAUAUUGGUAUCCUUAUUUACAAAGAAAAUGAGUGCAGAAAGGACAAGUAGUUUUCGUGAAACCACUUGGAAGUGGAGGAGAAGGGUUUUGAACUCCCAUCAUCUCAAGCUCAUGCUUUGCCAUCUCACCACAGUGAAAUGAUGGAAAACUCAAGUCUGCAAACCUUAAAUUUUCAAUCAAAGGGAGGAAACCUUGGGCAAAUGAAGAGGUCAUGGAUAUGAUAUGAAAAUAUUUUAUGAUUUUGCAUGUGAGAAGCUACUGCAUAGAUGAAUUCAACUGCAGGAUCCCUUUUAAAAAAUAUGUAUCUUCAAGAUUGAGUGUGAGCCUUCACAAACUCCUCCUUGUAUCUUAAGUCUGCUGGAGUACUGGCCUGACUCCACUCACUCACUGUGUACUUCGUUUGAAACUAACAAACAAUACAGUGACUGUCAGUAGAUGUUGCCUCCUCAGUCUACAGAGCCAACAAAAAUUAUGGAAAAGUACUGAAGAACUAAUACAGUUUAGACACCAGAGGUCUCACAAGUUAAACCCUCUAUAUAAUACAGAGCCCUCCUGAGAAUCAACUUAAGGUGAAAUGUUUUAAAGAAGAGAUAAUGGUGGUGGUGUGGUGGUACAUGUUGAGCAACCAGCUCUCUGGAGCAACUGAAAAAUACUUCUAAUCUGGCAAAUUCAGCGAGAAGACUGAGUUCCUUAAUUUCUGUCAGCACCAGUGAAAAACUGUCCUAAACUGACCCUGGCUUACAGAUGUACCACUGGAUCUUGGACUAAAUGGUAAUGGUAAUCAUUCUGAGCUUCCAUUAAAAUUCUAAGCCUUCUUCCAUUUUAUUUCUUAUUAACAGCUAUUAUUGUUGUUGUUGUUGUUGUUGUUGUUGUUGUUGUUGUUAUUAUAGCAAAGAAGAACAGCAGAAUGGUUGGUGGAGAUUCCUAUGCUUUCGACCCAUGGCGGGGUCACUAAGUCAGGUGAAUCACCUCCCACCCCUAAAGAUUCCCACCCAGUUAUGCCUUCUAAUGUGCUGUUCACAGUUUAUCAACUGAUUCUGAAAUUCUGAGACUUAACAGUUUUAAACUGA